UCGGCUUAGAGUUUGAUCAUGGCUCAGGAUGAACGCUGGCGGCGUGCCUAAUACAUGCAAGUCGAACGAAACUUCUUUAUCACCGAGUGCUUGCACUCACCGAUAAAGAGUUGAGUGGCGAACGGGUGAGUAACACGUGGGCAACCUGCCCAAAAGAGGGGGAUAACACUUGGAAACAGGUGCUAAUACCGCAUAACCAUAGUUACCGCAUGGUAACUAUGUAAAAGGUGGCUAUGCUACCGCUUUUGGAUGGGCCCGCGGCGCAUUAGCUAGUUGGUGAGGUAAAGGCUUACCAAGGCGAUGAUGCGUAGCCGAACUGAGAGGUUGAUCGGCCACAUUGGGACUGAGACACGGCCCAAACUCCUACGGGAGGCAGCAGUAGGGAAUCUUCCACAAUGGGCGAAAGCCUGAUGGAGCAACGCCGCGUGGGUGAAGAAGGUCUUCGGAUCGUAAAACCCUGUUGUUAGAGAAGAAAGUGCGUGAGAGUAACUGUUCACGUUUCGACGGUAUCUAACCAGAAAGCCACGGCUAACUACGUGCCAGCAGCCGCGGUAAUACGUAGGUGGCAAGCGUUAUCCGGAUUUAUUGGGCGUAAAGGGAACGCAGGCGGUCUUUUAAGUCUGAUGUGAAAGCCUUCGGCUUAACCGGAGUAGUGCAUUGGAAACUGGGAGACUUGAGUGCAGAAGAGGAGAGUGGAACUCCAUGUGUAGCGGUGAAAUGCGUAGAUAUAUGGAAGAACACCAGUGGCGAAAGCGGCUCUCUGGUCUGUAACUGACGCUGAGGUUCGAAAGCGUGGGGAGCAAACAGGA
rnacentral:rRNA from 1 species